rnacentral:tRNA from 1 species
GCCUUCGUGGUGUAGUGGUCAGCACGCUCGACGCGUAACCGAGAGGUCCGUGGUUCGAUUCCCGGCGACAGCG